rnacentral:rRNA from 1 species
GAUGAACGCUGGCGGCGUGCCUAAUACAUGCAAGUCGAGCGAACGGACGAGAAGCUUGCUUCUCUGAUGUUAGCGGCGGACGGGUGAGUAACACGUGGAUAACCUACCUAUAAGACUGGGAUAACUUCGGGAAACCGGAGCUAAUACCGGAUAAUAUUUUGAACCGCAUGGUUCAAAAGUGAAAGACGGUCUUGCUGUCACUUAUAGAUGGAUCCGCGCUGCAUUAGCUAGUUGGUAAGGUAACGGCUUACCAAGGCAACGAUGCAUAGCCGACCUGAGAGGGUGAUCGGCCACACUGGAACUGAGACACGGUCCAGACUCCUACGGGAGGCAGCAGUAGGGAAUCUUCCGCAAUGGGCGAAAGCCUGACGGAGCAACGCCGCGUGAGUGAUGAAGGUCUUCGGAUCGCAAAACUCUGUUAUUAGGGAAGAACAUAUGUGUAAGUAACUGUGCACAUCUUGACGGUACCUAAUCAGAAAGCCACGGCUAACUACGUGCCAGCAGCCGCGGUAAUACGUAGGUGGCAAGCGUUAUCCGGAAUUAUUGGGCGUAAAGCGCGCGUAGGCGGUUUUUUAAGUCUGAUGUGAAAGCCCACGGCUCAACCGUGGAGGGUCAUUGGAAACUGGAAAACUUGAGUGCAGAAGAGGAAAGUGGAAUUCCAUGUGUAGCGGUGAAAUGCGCAGAGAUAUGGAGGAACACCAGUGGCGAAGGCGACUUUCUGGUCUGUAACUGACGCUGAUGUGCGAAAGCGUGGGGAUCAAACAGGAUUAGAUACCCUGGUAGUCCACGCCGUAAACGAUGAGUGCUAAGUGUUAGGGGGUUUCCGCCCCUUAGUGCUGCAGCUAACGCAUUAAGCACUCCGCCUGGGGAGUACGACCGCAAGGUUGAAACUCAAAGGAAUUGACGGGGACCCGCACAAGCGGUGGAGCAUGUGGUUUAAUUCGAAGCAACGCGAAGAACCUUACCACAUCUUGACAUCCUUUGACAACUCUAGAGAUAGAGCCUUCCCCUUCGGGGGACAAAGUGACAGGUGGUGCAUGGUUGUCGUCAGCUCGUGUCGUGAGAUGUUGGGUUAAGUCCCGCAACGAGCGCAACCCUUAAGCUUAGUUGCCAUCAUUAAGUUGGGCACUCUAAGUUGACUGCCGGUGACAAACCGGAGGAAGGUGGGGAUGACGUCAAAUCAUCAUGCCCCUUAUGAUCUGGGCUACACACGUGCUACAAUGGACAAUACAAAGGGCAGCGAAACCGCGAGGUCAAGCAAAUCCCAUAAAGUUGUUCUCAGUUCGGAUUGUAGUCUGCAACUCGACUACAUGAAGCUGGAAUCGCUAGUAAUCGUAGAUCAGCAUGCUACGGUGAAUACGUUCCCGGGUCU